GACGAACGCUGGCGGCGUGCUUAACACAUGCAAGUCGAACGGUGAAGGGGUCUGCUUUUGUGGGCCCUGGAUGAGUGGCGAACGGGUGAGUAACACGUGAGUAACCUGCCCCCUUCUUCUGGAUAACCGCAUGAAAGUGCGGCUAAUACGGGAUAUUCUGGGUCUGUCGCAUGAUGGGUCUGGGAAAGAUUGCGCCUUUGGGUGUUUUUGGUGGGGGAUGGGCUCGCGGCCUAUCAGCUUGUUGGUGGGGUGAUGGCCUACCAAGGCGGUGACGGGUAGCCGGCCUGAGAGGGUGGACGGUCACACUGGGACUGAGACACGGCCCAGACUCCUACGGGAGGCAGCAGUGGGGAAUAUUGCACAAUGGGCGCAAGCCUGAUGCAGCGACGCCGCGUGAGGGAUGGAGGCCUUCGGGUUGUAAACCUCUUUCGCCAGUGAAGCAGGCCUGCUCCUUGUGGGUGGGUUGACGGUAGCUGGAUAAGAAGCGCCGGCUAACUACGUG
rnacentral:rRNA from 1 species